UACGGAGGAUCCAAGCGUUAUCCGGAAUCAUUGGGUUUAAAGGGUCCGUAGGUGGUUUUGUAAGUCAGUGGUGAAAGCCCAUCGCUCAACGGUGGAACGGCCAUUGAUACUGCAAGACUUGAAUUAUUAGGAAGUAACUAGAAUAUGUAGUGUAGCGGUGAAAUGCUUAGAGAUUACAUGGAAUACCAAUUGCGAAGGCAGGUUACUACUAAUGGAUUGACGCUGAUGGACGAAAGCGUGGGUAGCGAACAGG
rnacentral:rRNA from 1 species